GUCCACGCCGUAAACGAUGUCGACUUGGAGGUUGUGCCCUUGAGGCGUGGCUUCCGGAGCUAACGCGUUAAGUCGACCGCCUGGGGAGUACGGCCGCAAGGUUAAAACUCAAAUGAAUUGACGGGGGCCCGCACAAGCGGUGGAGCAUGUGGUUUAAUUCGAUGCAACGCGAAGAACCUUACCUGGCCUUGACAUCCACGGAAUUCGGCAGAGAUGCCUUAGUGCCUUCGGGAACCGUGAGACAGGUGCUGCAUGGCUGUCGU
rnacentral:rRNA from 1 species